UACGUUUUGUUAUUUCUGUGCAUAUUUUGGAUUGGUUGUUCUUGUAAAAAUAUCCCUUGUUAUUAUGAACCAAACAAUGAGCUAGAGUGUAUAGAGUUCAUCAAGUUCCCUGAGGAGCAGUAUGGGUGUAGCUAUACCAAUAAGUCGCUUGUCUUUAUUGGUUCUUCAAAACUUAUAGGAGAGGAACUUUGGAUACAAGUACAAAAAAACCAAGAAACGUUUUAUGUCAGAAGACAGGACGGAGCAUGCAAGGACAAGUGUUGUGAUACAUUUAAACGAGUUG